ensembl:lncRNA multiple epidermal growth factor-like domains protein 9
GAAAUCCUGGAUGCCAAGAAAUGAAAUCCUUUUUUUUUUGACGAGAUCACGGGGGCUGGCCAGCAGCCAGGCGCAAGGCUUUCCACGCAACUUGCCCACGCUGCCCGUUUAGCCCCUUGCUUCCUCCAGGACGGCUUCUCUCGCAUGUAUUUCUGUUCACCACAGAAAGAGGGUUAGAUUUUGAUUCGGCCCAAUAUUUUAGUUUGCACUACACCCUGGAAAAGCUGGUAACUUCUCCUUAAGACCUGUCAGUCUCUGAAUAUAAAUCCCCCUUUGUUGGGGGGGGGUGUGUGAUUUGAGCCGCAUGAUCAGAGUCAGGUGACAACACUGGGCACAAAAACGGAGUAGAAUAAACAGUGAGACCUAGGAGAUUAGCUGUUGAUCUUGCCUUUUGACAAGCUGUGCUGCUCCUCAGAGAAAAAUGAGUGCCUGGCCCUCUCCUCUGCUUUGGAGCUUAACCAUGGUGUGGCUGACAGGUAUUGCUUUAAGCCAGAUGACCACUACCCAGGUCCCUAUCGCCUCAACACCAGCGCCUCCCAGUGCAACGGCCACCCAGGUCCCUCUUGCCUCGACACCAGGGUCCCCUAGUGCAACCACUGUCUCAGCCUCUGCGCCCCCAGUUUCUGCUGCGACGCGCUCGGCUGGAGCGGCGUCCGCCACGCCAACCCUUGCCACGUCUGCGGGAGCGCUGUCUGCUGACCCGAGCACGGGAGCGCCAACUCCAGUUCUGUCCACCUCCCUGGACGUGACAGCACUCGUUUCUGGAAGCGCGACCAGCUCUCGUGUGCCCACAGCAGCACUCACUGGUGCCCCGUCCUUCUCUCCGGCUGCGACUGCGUCUCCCGGCGUCCCAUCAGCAGCUCCGUUCCUCGCCACCUCGGAGCCCUCGGGCUGCAGCAGGGUGAACGUGACAGCGUGCGAGCCUUGUUCCCCGGGGACGUUUCCCAACGAUGGCACCCUGAGCUGCUCGUGCUGUUCGCAGGGCUCCUGCACGGGCCCCGCUGACUGCGUUCCCUGCCCGGUGGGUCACUACCAGCCCCUGAGCGGACAGCAGUCGUGUCUGCCGUGUCCACAGGGGUAUUACACCAGUUUUCGGAGGAGCACCACAUGCUCUCCCUGCCCACCUGGCUCUUACGCUAACGAGUCUGGGGCUGCAGCCUGCAGAGCCUGCCAGAGAGGGUAUUUCAGCGCCCAGCAAAAUGCAGCUUUCUGCCUGCCUUGCCUGCCUGGAUCAUUUUGCAACACCACCAGCUGCACCGUGUGUCUGGCUUGCCCUGGUGGGAAGGAGGCUCUUCGCGAGGCAUCCGAGGAGUGCACACCUUGCCUCCCAGGUAUGUUCAAAGGUCCCAGCGACAACAGAUGCAAGCUCUGCAAGGCGGGAGAAUACCAAUUACAGCAAGGCAAGGAAAGCUGUGACCUAUGCCCAGAAAAUCACUACUGUCCUAGCCCGGAUGUGAACCCAGUCAAGUGCCCUGCUGACGCCUUCUGCCCCGCUGGCAGUGCCGAGCCUGAGUAUUGCAUGGAGGUGUUUUUUUACAAGGCAGGAGACUCAUGCCAGCUGGCCCCUCUGAUCAUCCUCCUGGCUGUUUUUGCAGCAGGUGGACUCCUUGUUGUCUUGCUGAUAAUUCUGAAGAGAAGGCAAGAACGUAGGAAGAAAUCUUUGAAGUCCCUACUCUUACCAAAAGGAUCAGGACAACACACAACGUAUGGUGUAACGGAGCACACAGAACCAGUAUACGCUGGUUGGUAG